UUUUAUUAAAAUUUUUGCUUCAUAUGAGGUGAAAGUUUUAUAUUAAG
rnacentral:sRNA from 1 species